UGGGUGUCCCGAAGUCGGUGACGGUGAUGGU
rnacentral:piRNA from 1 species